UUGACCUCGGAUUCAGGUAGGAAUNACCCGCUGAACUUAA
rnacentral:rRNA from 1 species